rnacentral:snRNA from 1 species
GUGCUUGCUUUGGCAGCACAUAUACUAAAAAUUGGAACGAUGAAGAGAUUAGCAUGGCCCCUGCGCAAGGAUGACAUGCAAAUUCGGGAAGCAUUCCAUAGUUUA